UACAGAGGUCUCAAGCGUUGUUCGGAUUCAUUGGGCGUAAAGGGUGCGUAGGCGGCCCUUUAAGUCCGUCGGUGAAAGACCGGGGCUCAACCCCGAGUCAGCCAUGGAUACUGGAGGGCUGGAGACAGGUAGAGGCAAGCGGAAUUCCGGAUGUAGCGGUGGAAUGCGUAGAUAUCUGAAGGAACAUCAGUGGCGAAAGCGACUUCCUGGACCAAUACUGACGCUCAUGUGCGAAAGCGUGGGGAGCAAACAGG
rnacentral:rRNA from 1 species